rnacentral:rRNA from 1 species
GAUGGAUGCGCGCAGCCUGAUCAGCAUGCCGCGUGUGUGAAGAAGGCCUUCGGGUUGUAAAGCACUUUUGUCCGGAAAGAAAUCGCACUUACUAAUAUUAGGUGUGGAUGACGGUACCGGAAGAAUAAGGACCGGCUAACUACGUGCCAGCAGCCGCGGUAAUACGUAGGGUCCAAGCGUUAAUCGGAAUUACUGGGCGUAAAGCGUGCGCAGGCGGUUGUGCAAGACCGAUGUGAAAUCCCCGGGCUUAACCUGGGAAUUGCAUUGGUGACUGCACGGCUAGAGUGUGUCAGAGGGGGGUAGAAUUCCACGUGUAGCAGUGAAAUGCGUAGAGAUGUGGAGGAAUACCGAUGGCGAAGGCAGCCCCCUGGGAUAACACUGACGCUCAUGCACGAAAGCGUGGGGAGCAAACAGGAUUAGAUACCCUGGUAGUCCACGCCCUAAACGAUGUCAACUAGUUGUUGGGGAUUCAUUUCCUUAGUAACGUAGCUAACGCGUGAAGUUGACCGCCUGGGGAGUACGGUCGCAAGAUUAAAACUCAAAUGAAAUUUGACGGA